AAUAAGCAACGUGUACAUUAUGUAAAGAAUAAUACAAAAUGAUGUUCAAUUUUUCGUCGAGUGCAUGCCAAGCAAAAAGGCCUCGUGGCGACUUCAGAGGCAGAGGCACGCACACAACUUAAUUCCACUAAAAUUAAUAAAUUCCAUAAAAUAUGAAUUCAAAACAAACUCACAUUAACUUUCAAUGUUUCUUGAAGUACCAAUCAAAGGAUAUUUGAUGUCUUUGACAGCUUUUAAUCAUCUUGCAGACAUGUGCAAGGAAAAUGUCAUGCAAGUGAGCCAUCGCCCGACUAGUUCACACAUUUUCCAAGUUAAUACAAGAUCCUUCCGGUGAACCAAUUCAUCGAUGUCCUCACUUCUCCAACGAAAGAUCCUCGUGGGGAACCAACUCGUCGAUGUCCUCCUUAGCCUUUCCCAGCAAAAUAAUUUCCUCUGCUUCAGGUUUAAUCUCCCCUUCGAACUCCUCAAAUCAAGCAGCAACAGCAUAAGGCCGCAUGGCAGCAGCAUGAUGGCACUGGCCAUCAACUUCUUGGGGCCCAUGGUGAAAAAAGAUGAAUGAAUCUGAGAAGAAGUUGUCGAGCGAAUGAGAAUGGCGAACAGUGACGAACAUACAGGAAGUGCGUCACGGGUAAAGAUUGACUUCCCCCCACCAAAAAAAAAAGAUUGGCGUAGCUCUGAGCCAACGGAGGGACGUGAUGUCAGGAAGAUGGUACAUGCUAGCCAUCGUGGAUAGCUCCUCCUCUUCGCACCAAACUGUUCCUUCAUUGCUGUGUGAUGCAUCGCCUCCAGCUCCUAUCGUUCCUCCAUCGAAAGAUCCUUGAUGUUCUCCUGAACCAACUCGGCGAUGUCCUCAGCCUUUCCCAGUGAAACAAUUCCCUCAACUUCAGGUUCAACCUCCACUUCGAACCUCUCAAAAUCCUGUUGAGCAGCAGCAGCACGAUGAAGCCACAUGCACGCAUGUUUUUUUCAUGUUUCUGGACGAUUUCUCAUUUUGUUUUGAUUGAAAAAAAAACAACUCUCGUUUUCUUCUCACUGGCCUGAAAAAAGAUGAAUAAAUCCGCAAACAAGU